rfam:Chloroflexi bacterium RBG_16_56_11 RBG_16_scaffold_641, whole genome shotgun sequence.
UACCAUCGACCGUAAUGGCGGUGAGUUCUAAAGAAGACCUUAAUAAAAUAAGUCGCUUGGAUCGUAUACGACCGAGACGGCAUA